AAAUGAGGGACAUUUGGCUGUGACAUAAGUCACCCCAUCACCUGCCAGACAGAUUCAGCUGAUGGGGCUAAAUGAUGUCUCCUUUCUCCCUCACUACUUCAGGUGCCUCAGCGGCAAAGCUGCAGGCUCAGUUGAUGAGGUCUUUUCUUCAUAGAGGAUGAGGGUCAUAGGUGAAGGGCACAUGAGCAGCUGAACUCUCCUGUUAGAAUAUCCAAACACACUCUGUAGAGAUGUUCUCAGAUCUGAAUGCCUGUUCACACUUCAGUCCCUCACUCAUGUUCACAAUUGUCUAACUUUCUGA
rnacentral:snRNA from 1 species